CACCCCACCUGCAGUCUUCACCACCUCGCCGGCGGCCACGGGGGCUAAAAACGAUAAGAGAGACGGUGGGGGGUGCAUUUUGUGGGCAUCUGACUCUUCCAGGGCUGGGCGGAGCCAAGGACACUGGGCUUGGAGUCAUUCGGGCUGGAUGGGGCUGAACCCGCCCAUGUCUAUGGCCUGCUGAGUCCUGUCCUCUUGCAGAGCUCUUUUCGUCAUCUGCGCAAUGGCAGGAAUGAGACGGAAACCAGUGAAGCGUUCCUCGCAGGGCCUGCCUGGAUUCAAAUCCCACCACUCAGAGUGUGAUCUCGGGAGGGCCCUUUGCUGCCCUGAGCCUUUUCCCUGUGUGAGGAGUAAACAGGCUGAUGAGUAAGAGGGGUCACCCUUAGUGAGUGCUUUUAUUCCGUCUGUGCCAGGACUUAUCUUGGAUAACAUUUGCAGUGACCUUAUGAGGUAAGGAUGGCCACUUGGAACCCUUGAAGCUGUGAGUCCCCUUGACUUCCUCCCAGGCACUGCCCUCCCAGAAGUGAAGGUACCAGGAGGCAGAGGAAACAGUAGCACCACGGUGCCAUCCUGGAUCCAACGGAGCAGACAGCACGAAAAUCCAACACGCCCCUCACCGGAGGACUGGGAGGCUCCCGCGUUUUGGAUUCUGAAAAGCACUCCCUCGUUCACGUCUGCCUGGAUUCGCGCCCUCAAGCCCCCUGGCGCCCACUUUUCUUGCUCUCCAAACACUCGUUGAGGCCCGAGAGGGAGAUGCGAAGUUUGCCCACCACUGCGCGUCCCUCCUCCGCGAGGCGCCAAUGGGCCUGAGUCAGGGGCCUCCCCUUCAUCCGCUGGUCCCUCCCCUGUUCCCAGCUCCAGUUCCUCACCCGCUAUGGCUGGCCUGGCGCCUGUGGCCGUUCACCGUCUGCGAGGCAUCUGCGGGGACUGAAGUCGGGGAGGCAGCGGCGGGCUCUGGCAGAUACCAGGAGAUCCCGCCCCUCGGCCCGGGAGACCCCGCCCCUCGGCCACGCCCCUUUCCGCUCCCCACCCCGCCCUCUUGGGCCCCCCACCCGGCCCAGCCAGACAGAGACCUGCCUCCAGGUGGGUGGGAGGAGACCUUCAGUCCCUCGCCCCGGGCCUGUUGUCACUACCUCCCCCAAACACAUUGGUUAAAGUCACCCGAUUAGAAGGGGCCACCUGUGAGACUUGGAUCCAAAGCAAACUAGCGGAAGCUGAAGGGUCUUGGGGCUUCCCAGGCCUCUCGGAGGCCGGGAUGGUCGUGGAGGAGGGAGCGCUCAGUGCCUGGCCUACUGCCUGCCCUGAGCCGGCUCCCUACAGGACGCUUCUCCUGUACCUUCCACCUGCUGCGAGGAAGGGCUGGGGGCAGGCGUACCCAUUUUCCAGAGGAGAACUGAAGGCUCUCACCCCGGGUUAGGCCAGUGGCCGGAGGCAGAGCCGGGCCUUGAACCUGGCUUUCUGGAUCUUCAUCCAGGCCAUUCUAAAGGUACUGCAGGGAUGGCAGAGAGGGCCUGUCUGGGGGAAGGGAAUAGGGGGAUCACAGUUUCCAGGAGUCACUCCUGAAGAUGGUCAAGUACCAUGGAGGGGCAGGGCAUCCAUGGACCCUGAUUUGAGGCCCCGGAGCAGUUGGGACUGGUUUGGGCCACGGCUGGCCUAAUCUCCCCUCCACAGAGCCUGGGCAUUGUCCAGUUGGCAGCCAAGAGCCAUCUAUCCACUUUACAGCGGGCAGCUUUGACAGGCUGCUUGUUUCCAAGGACAAAGCCUGCAGGCUGUGGGUAGGCGAUAGCCACUGCGGACCUCGGGCUCAUUGCCUGGGUACAGGGGGUGGGGAGCCUGAGGUCUGCCAGGACCCAAGGGAGCCUCGAGGGUGGCCUGAGGACAUUGGGUCCUCACUCCUGGCCCCUCAGCCAACCCCCUCAUAGCCCAGGGCCAGGAAUUUUGGAAGGAAGAACCAGCCACUGGGAUGUUUUCACUUUUGGGUCACCCUGAUCCCCCCAGAAUCGAGGCUUGGCCAUCAGCCAGCUUUUAUGUGACCCAGGCAGCUCUCUCCACUCUGUUUCUUCUUCUACAGAAUGUUGAGAAUCACCUCUUUCUCUCAGGGACAUAAAGCAUGGCUGUGAGAGAGAUUUGUGAGUGUUGGGGUCACUGUAAUUACUCUCUGAGGGUGCCUGUCUUGAGCUCUGUAGACAAAGUGGGAUCCCUUCCCCUCUCUCAUACCCCUACAAACUUUGGGCCUCGAGUAUCCAGGAUGGGCCCAGAACCAGCACUGGCACAGCCUCCUCUCUGGCCUGAUCCAAGCCCUCUCCCACACAGCAGUCAGGCUGAUCUUCCUAAAAUUUCCGUCUAUUGAGCUUACAUUAAAAUAAUAAUAAUAAUAAUAAUAAUAAUAAUAAUAAUAAUAAUAACAACAUUUCUGUCUGAUUUUGUCUCUCCUCUGCUCAAAAUCCCUCUGUGGAUCCCUAGUGCCUCCAGGAGAAAGUCCACCCUUCCUCUCACGGCUCACCCAAUCUACCCCAGCCGUGGCUCCUCCCUCACUGUGCCUCUUCCCCUUACCUUCUAGCCAGAGUGAAAUCCCCAGGCCUCUGCGUGCACCAUUCCCUCUGCUUAGGAAUAGGCAGACCUGCCCCCAGGUCUUUUCUGGUUCAUUUCCACUUAUCCUUCAGGUUUCUAGGAUGCUUUCCCUGACCUCCACUUAAAUUGGCUCAGGAGUUCCCUGAUCUCCACAAAUGUCAGGAACUUGUCCACCCGCCUGCCCCCAGCACCCAGGUUACACCUGACAAAGUAAGCGCUUUGGAAUGCUCCAACAGACCUAGUCAUACCAUACCCGGACAGAUGCCUUGCGUGUGUGUUUGAGGGUGGUGGUGCUGGGGACAGUGGGAAGGGACUCUGCCUCAUGGACCCCCAAGGCCAGACACCUGCACUGCUGCUUGUGGCCACUGGAGGGCGAAACAACUAUUUAGUGCCUACCUGCGGCAGGCCCCUCCUCAGCCUGGGAGAAAAGAGAUGCCCCUCCCGCCCACCCCCACCUGUCCCCACCUGUCCCCACUUGUCACUGGGGCAGCUCCGGAAGUAAAACGUGGACGCAGCUGGUGCAGUGGCCUUGAGCUGGCAGUCAGAACCUCUGCCUACCCCCAUCCCCCAUUCCAGGCCCUUCUCUGCCAACAACCAGCAUAGGGACCUGAAUAAGUCACAUCUCUGCUCUUGGUUUCAGAUGAUCUGUGACAUGCCUGGCCUGGAGCCUGGCACACAGCAGGUGCUCAGUAAAUACAUAUUUGGCCGGGCGCGAUGACUCACGUCUGUAACCCCAUCACUUUGGGAGGCCGAGGUGGAUGGAUCACCUGAGGUCACGUGUUUGAGACCAUCCUGGCCAACAUGGCGGAACCCUGUCUCUACUAAAAAUACAAAAAUUAGCUGGUUGUGGUGGCGCGUGCCUGUAAUCCCAGCUGCUGGGGAGGCUGAGGCAGGAGAACCUGGGAGGCGGAGGUUGCAGUGAGCCAAGAUCAUGCCAUCACACUCCAGCCUGGGUGACAGAACAAGGCUCAGUCUCAAAAUGAAUACAUACAUACAUACCUAUUUGUAUUAGGAGGAGAAAACCAAGAACCAGAGAAGAGAAGAGAAGGGAAGGGACCUGUGGCCACAUAGCAAGGCCAUGGCACAGCCGAAGUCUCCUCUGCUUUCCUCAUGCAGCCCCGUCCAACCCAUCUCUUUCAUCUCUUUUCUUAAAACUUAAAAAUAUUUUCAGGGGGGUGUGGUGGCUCAUGCCUAUAAUCCCAGCAAUUUGGGAGGAUGAGAUGGGAGGAUUGCUUGAGCCCGGGAGUUUGAGGCUGCAGUGAGCCACUGUAGUCCAGCCGGGGUGACACAGCCAGACUCCAUCUUUUUCUCUGUAUAUUUUUUCACCUCUACCUGAUGUGACUGAGUAACUGCUGGGGUACAUCACCUCUUUCAGGUGAUGGAAAUGUUCUAAAGUUGAUUAUGCUGAUGGUUGGUUGCCCAGCUGUGAAUGCAGUAAAAACAUUGAGCCGUACACUUUAAAUGGACAAGUUAUGUGUGAAUUAUAUCUCAAUAAAGCUCUGUGCCCCACCCAAAUCUCCUGUCAAACUGUGAUUCAUAGCGUUGGAAGUGGGGCCGGGUGGAAGGUGACUAGAUCAUGGGGGCGGAUCCUUCAUAAAUGAU
rnacentral:lncRNA from 10 species